rnacentral:rRNA from 1 species
CCUACGGGUGGCUGCAGUAAGGAAUAUUGGUCAAUGGACGCAAGUCUGAACCAGCCAUGCCGCGUGAAGGAUUAAGGUCCUCUGGAUUGUAAACUUCUUUUCUCUGGGACGAAACCCCCUGUAUCCACAGGGCCUGACGGUACCAGAGGAAUAAGCACCGGCUAACUCCGUGCCAGCAGCCGCGGUAAUACGGAGGGUGCAAGCGUUAUCCGGAUUCACUGGGUUUAAAGGGUGCGUAGGUGGACAUUUAAGUCAGUGGUGAAAUCUUUGGGCUU